rnacentral:rRNA from 1 species
UCCUACGGGAGGCAGCAGUAAGGAAUAUUGGUCAAUGGGCGGAAGCCUGAACCAGCCAUGCCGCGUGCAGGAUGACUGCCCUAUGGGUUGUAAACUGCUUUUGUCCAGGAAUAAACCUAGAUACGUGUAUCUAGCUGAAUUACUGAAGAAUAGAUCCGAUUUGGGA